AAGGCUCUAGUAUAACUGAUAUUACCCUGCUUUGUCAAAGCAAAAAUGCAAGUUGAAAUCUUGCGUGCCUUA
rnacentral:tRNA from 1 species